UAUAGGUGUUUUUACUACUAAUUAUUAUAUUAUAGAGUAUAUUUAUUAUAUUUAUAAGAUCAGGAAUGAUUUGGAGAUAAAUGAUGAUUUUAGAGCAUUUUAGAGAUAUUUGGAGCAAGCACCCGAGAUGACCAUCGAGCUCGACCAUCGGUCGAUAUUGAGGAAAAAAUAUCGAUCGAUGUUCACAUCGAUCGACAGCGAAGCGCGAAGAAAGCAUGUUUGGUCACAACCGACUUGAAGCCCAAGUCUUCACCAAUUUACAAG
rnacentral:lncRNA from 1 species